AAGAGUCCCUGUGUCAAACCCUACGUGCAGAGAAACAGGAGGUGAAGACAACAGGUGCAUCGAGCACUGCAGCAAUGGUGCUUAUUGCGGUAAGCAACAGUCUCAGAAAACAGCUCUAAGCUUAUAAAAGCCUUCUUCAGCCAGAAUAAAUCACUGUAGCUUCUCCCUCAUAGCUGGCCCGAGCUUUAGUGAGGUUACACUCAGUCUAGGAUCCUCCCGUAGCAGUUAGAGGCUCUUCUAAACACUUCCAUAUAAAUAAUCCCUGAGUUCUUGAAAGCGCCCAUCCAGCAUGAGACUAAGGUAUGUCUUCAUCCUUUUAAAUAUCAUUGUUGCUGAGGGGAAACCCCUACUUUUUCCUCUUCAGCCUCCUCUCCGCCGCUCCCCCCCGCCUCGCUGGCAAGGAUUAGGCCAGAUGACAGCUGACCUUGCUGCCUCGGUUGCUGCACCGAGGUGCCCGGUGGCCCCGUGACGCAUUGGCGUUUCCCCUUCCCUCCAUUUGGCUUUGCUGCCGCAACUGCCUCCGAGCCUGGGGCUGCAGUUUCUCCCUGCGCAGUGCAGGGAGAUAACACUUUGAACUUUCACUUCAGCCUUGCGUUUGGCGGCGGGUCUGAAGGGCACAGCGAAGUGCAAAGAGCAGGCAAGGGGCCAAGAAGGCAGCAGAAAGCUCCUGAACUGAAGAUAUCGGAUUUACCUCCAUUCAUUUUGACUUUUGAGCCCGCGGAGUCAAGACAUCAUCUUCAGUUUUUACUCGGACAACUGCCAUCUCCUGCUGUCCUCGGUGCUUCCUGGAUUACUCAUGGCUCUUCUACUUUGCACAGACUGUGAAUUUUUCUCUCAAUGCCUUGUGUCGGUUUAAUAAUCUUUCCUUCAAUGCUUCCUUCUGUUUUCCUCUGCUAGUUUCUUAAUGGAAGCAUCAUUCUUUGAAAUUUUGGCUGCUUAGGAGCUGAACUUGCUCUGGGGCUGGUUUUCAUUUUUACGCUUUUGCAAACUCUAUCUCUUUUUGUCUCCUCAAGACCACAUUUAUCUUCUUCCAGCUUUGUUCUCAUUUGUCAGUGCAGAAGAACAGGACCUACUAGUCAACAAUCAGCAUAACCUCAUGCAUCUGCUGCAGCCUCCUCUCCAGGAUAGUGGAAAGUGCCAGGUACUUCAGUGGAAGGUUUGAGAAAGCCUAGAGCAGGUAGUUUUAGAGAAAAACUUCUCUGAGGGAGAAAAGUUCGCUCUCUGCCACCCUCAAAGACUGCUUUAUGUCCUGCAGUCUAAGCUGGAAGAUGAGUUCCAUUAAAUUCAAAUCACAAUCACAGUUUAUUUUUAGAACUUAGCAUAUUCUUUUUUUCCAUGCACAUUUCCAUUCCCUUUUAAUUCACGAAACUCCUGGCCUCAAUUACCUCUGGUGGCAAUGAACUCCACCUGGCAAUCAUAUGCUGUGGGAAAGGAUUGCUUUUCACCCUUUGCCUUUCAUUUUCAGCAAAUGUCCUUCUGCUCUUGUACGAUGGGAAAUGAUGAACAGGACUCUCUUUCUUUGGUGCCAUUCAUUAUUUUGAACAUUUUUAUCUUUUCACUUCUUCUCUGAAGUGAACAAGUUCAAUUUUACUAUUCAUCUAGAAGCUUUUCAUGCCUCUAAUUAUUUUGAUUGUCAUCUCUGAACUCAUUUCAUUUCUGCUUUGUCCUUUUCAGGGUAUCCAGAACUGAUCACAAUGCGCUAUGCUGGGACGAUAAAAAGUAUUUUCAGUAUCACUUCCCUGUUCCAUUCUUUUCCCUUCCUAACUUUUCUUUUUCUUUUUUUUUAAUCACCGCAAGACAUCUUCAUCAAAAUGCCCGCAGUGACACCCACGUGUUUUUUUCUGACUCUUUGUAGUUAAAUUUAGAAGCCAGAAGUUCAUAUUCUGCCUCCCAGGGUGCAACAUCUUCCGUCUGAAAAAGCCACAUUCCUCUGUAAUGGCAUCUUGCUUCAUUAGUGUCUCAUCCCAGCUCCUUAUACUUUUUACAUGUCUUGUUUUACUUAAAAGUUGUGUCUUCCACUAUUAUCUCUGUGUUGCUGCUUCUUUUCUUUUCAAACUUUCUCAGCCAAAGUCUUUUGUCAUUUGACCCUCCAAGAUUGUUUUGUAUCUGCAUUUUAUUCCAUUCCCUUUCCAGAGCCUGAACAUCUCUAGUCUUUUUACUUCAAUAUCAUCUAUUUUUAAAAUACUUUAAAUCUGGGGCACAUCAAGGCAUUGCCAUGAUUUAUUAUUGGGUCUUAAAAUCGUUGCCUUGACUAGUCUGUUCUUAUGACACAAACACUUGAUUAACUAGUACAAAUUGUUCAACAAUUCGUUUAACAAAUUGUUAAAGUUCAGUCAGAAACACAAACGCUGAUCAGCUCAUCAAUCAUACAAGCAUGCAGAAGGCCAUUGUGCCCCAAAUAAUAAUAACUGACUGAUAAUUUGUGGGCUUUUCUUCUUCAUUAGAGAUACUGGACUAUAAACUAGGCAACAGGAGAACAAAGUAGUUAUGUAUUUCAUGAUUACGUCAGCUACCACAGAGGCAAACUUGCUGAUUAGAAAAGAGGAAUAUUCCAAAACUUUUUUUUUUUUAUUAAAAAUGCUUAUCCAGGAAUUGCUUAAGCAAUUCUCAUUACCAGGAAAUAGUUACAGGCGAAAAAAAUGUAAUAAAAAAAAUACUUGAAAAACCCA
ensembl:lncRNA